rnacentral:rRNA from 1 species
GAACGCUAGCUACAGGCUUAACACAUGCAAGUCGCGGGGUAACAUCUGGUAGAGCUUGCUCUUCCAGGAUGACGACCGGCGCACGGGUGAGUAACGCGUAUCCAACCUGGCCCAUACCACGGGAUAGCCCGUCGAAAGGCGGAUUAAUACCGUAUGCUGUCAUUAAGAUGCAUAUAUUGAUGACGAAAGGACUGGCGGUAUGGGAUGGGGAUGCGUCUGAUUAGCUUGUUGGCGGGGUAACGGCCCACCAAGGCGACGAUCGGUAGGGGUUCUGAGAGGAAGGUCCCCCACAUUGGAACUGAGACACGGUCCAAACUCCUACGGGAGGCAGCAGUGAGGAAUAUUGGUCAAUGGCCGCGAGGCUGAACCAGCCAAGUAGCGUGCAGGAAGACGGCCCUAUGGGUUGUAAACUGCUUUUGCAGGGGAAUAAAGUAUGCCACGUGUGGUGUUUUGCAUGUACCCUGCGAAUAAGGAUCGGCUAAUUCCGUG